rnacentral:rRNA from 1 species
UACGAAGGUGGCAAGCGUUGUUCGGAUUUACUGGGCGUACAGGGAGCGUAGGCGGUUGGAUAAGCCCUCCGUGAAAUCUCCAGGCUUAACCUGGAAAGUGCAGAGGGGACUGUUCAGCUAGAGGAUGGGAGAGGAGCGCGGAAUUCCCGGUGUAGCGGUGAAAUGCGUAGAGAUCGGGAGGAACACCGGUGGCGAAGGCGGUUCUCUGGGCCUUACCUGACGCUGAGGAGCGAAAGCGUGGGGAGCGAACAGG